CCUACGGGAGGCAGCAGUAGGGAAUAUUGCUCAAUGGGGGAAACCCUGAAGCAGCAACGCCGCGUGGGGGAUGAAGGUUUUAGGAUUGUAAACUCCUUUUGUUAGAGAAGAUUAUGACGGUAUCUAACGAAUAAGCACCGGCUAAAUCCGUGCCAGCAGCCGCGGUAAUACGGAGGGUGCAAGCGUUACUCGGAAUCACUGGGCGUAAAGAGUGCGUAGGCGGGAUAAUAAGUCAGAUGUGAAAUCCUGUAGCUUAACUACAGAACUGCUUUUGAAACUGUUACUCUGGAGUGUGGGAGAGGUAGGUGGAAUUCUUGGUGUAGGGGUAAAAUGCGUAGAGAUCAAGAGGAAGACUCGUGGCGAAGGCGACCUGCUGGAACAUUACUGACGCUGAGGCACGAAAGCGUGGGGAGCAAACAGGAUUAGAUACCCGUGUAGUC
rnacentral:rRNA from 1 species